UGUUUAGUUUUUUUACGAUUUGAUCGAAAUAUUGUGGUGAAAUUACGAAAUGGAUUGGUGAGACCAAUGAUUUGAGUAUACGAUUGUUUUUUGUGUUUUAUAUAACGAUUAAUUUAGGCGAACAUAUAAUCGAAAUCAUGUAAUGUAGGUCAGUUAAUAAACAAAACAAGUUUUGUAAAUUUACUGUAGUCGAAACGAAACUCACCAGCGAAUUUGGAAGAAUUUUGGUAAAAAUAAGAAAAAAUAAACCGGUUAAGAACCAAAAGAACGCUAACUCACUACCAUGGUUUAGUUUAUAGUUAAAUUAGAGUAUGAUCUCCAAAUAAUUGUGAACUUAUAAAUAAAUCAUAUUAUUUUCACGACAAUUCUAACCAUUAUAACAUAGUAUAGGUACAUAUAAGGCCAUGAUCUGUCGAAAUCCAAUUUUAAUGCAAUGCUACCUGACGGGGUGGUCAGGUCUCUAUGACUCAUACUAUACAGUUAGCUUCAUUAGUAGCAAACCUAUUUGUUUUUCCUUGUCCAACUCAUAAACCGUCAUAGUUUCACGUAAUGAAUACCAGGUAUGUGAGUUUGACAAGGUACAAAACUGUAUAGCUACUUACAAAGCUGACUGUGCCAAAAAAAUAAGGACUAUUUAAUAAGAAGUAGCUUAGCAUAUGUAUACACAACUGCCAUGUAAUUAUUGCUUGAUAGAAAAUAAAAAAGUAUUUGAAUAACAAAGUAAAAUAAUUUUAUUACUUAAAUGUUUUGUCUACAACUAGUCUUAGGUUCAUAGUUAAUUAUUAACUACAAGUGAUUGUAGAUUUAAUACAAGUACUUACUCGAUCUUAUAACAGAAGAAUGUUGGUAAAAUUAAUAAGUACUUGUAUGGUAUAUUACAUACAUACAGUCAGCUUCUGAAGAAGCUAUAUUAUUUAUUUUUAUACAAUUACAUUUUGCAACAAAUCGCCUACUCAUUUCAACAAGGUACAAAAGUAUACUUAUAAUGAUGUAGCUAGUAAGAAAGCUGACCGUAUUUCAUGUCUCAAUAUUAAGCCUUUUAUUUCUUUGACUCACACUUCGUUAAGUUUACCGAUAAAUGCAGUAAAUUAUUAGAUCAAUGCAGUUUUUAUCAAUAAGUAGGUACUUAUAUUAAUGUUACAUUUCGGAUAUACAUGAAACCUUUCAAAUUUGGAACUCAAAUAAAAAUUUAUAAAUAUUGCACUUUUUUGAAAACAGCUAGUGCCAGAGGUAGCAGACUUUUUAAUAAAAUUUAAAAUUCGCCAAACUCAACAUUAGGUAAAUUUUAACUAUAGCAUAUAUUUAUUUUACUUACAAUGUACUUACUAAACUACUUAUCUAAUUAAGGAAAUAAACUUAUAUUUUUAA